AAACUACAAUUAGAUGAAAAAUAGUUUUAUAUUGCUCAGACCUGCUGAUGCUAGCCUAGUCACAAAAUCAGGCAUCUCAUUUUGAAUUUUUGAACUGAAAAACGUAAGUGUAAGCUCUUCUUGAAGAGCUCUUGCAGGUUAAAGUUUGUCAUUGAAGUUACAGGAGCAUUUAUCUAGCCUG